rnacentral:rRNA from 1 species
CCCUUAGAUGUUCUGGGCCGCACACGCGCUACACUGAAGGAGGCAGCGUGUACUCCUGGAUCGAAAAAUUUGGGUAACCCGCGAAUCUCCUUCGUGCUAGGGAUUGAGGUUUGCAAUUAUCCUUCAUGAACGAGGAAUUCCCAGUAAGUGCAAGUCAUAAGCUUGCGCUGACUACGUCCCUGCCCUUUGUACACACCGCCCGUCGCUACUACCGAUUGAAUGAUUUAGUGAGGACUUCGGACUGGGACCGAUGCGGCUUUCGGGCUGCGUCGGUAUUCUGGAAAGAUGUCCAAACUGUAUCAUUUAGAGGAAGUAAAAGUCGUAACA